CCUACGGGUGACAGCAGUGAGGAAUAUUGGUCAAUGGGCUUACGCCUGAACCAGCCAAGUCGCGUGAGGGAAGACUGCCCUAUGGGUUGUAAACCUCUUUUGUCAGGGAGCAACGCCGGCUACGUGUAGCCGGACUGAGAGUACCUGAAGAAAAAGCAUCGGCUAACUCCGUGCCAGCAGCCGCGGUAAUACGGAGGAUGCGAGCGUUAUCCGGAUUUAUUGGGUUUAAAGGGUGCGUAGGCGGAAUGCCAAGUCAGCGGUAAAAGCGCGGGGCUCAACCUCGCUCCGCCGUUGAAACUGGCGUUCUUGAGUGGGAGAGAAGUAGGCGGAAUGCGUGGUGUAGCGGUGAAAUGCAUAGAUAUCACGCAGAACUCCGAUUGCGAAGGCAGCAUACCGGCGCCCAACUGACGCUGAAGCACGAAAGCGUGGGUAUCGAACAGGAUUAGAUACCCCUGUAGUC
rnacentral:rRNA from 1 species